UGCAGAAUCCCGUGAACCAUCAAGUUUUUGAACGCAAGUUGCGCUCGAGGCCUCUUGGCUAAGGGCACGUCUGUCUGGGCGUCACGC
rnacentral:rRNA from 1 species